ACCAAAACAAACCCAUCCUGUUACGAACGAUCGGAAGGAAAUGGGAUUACGAAUAAAUCCCAGGACAAUGUCAUGUGUACUACUUCCUAUAAUACUAGAACAAGGAUGACUGUGAUUGCCAAUGUCACUGUUAUAUGAAUGAUGUAAUCAGAAAAUCUCAGAUGGAAUAUGAAUGGUCAGGAGAAUUGAACAAACAUGCCGUGUAUCUUCAAUUAUGAAGAAUGACAAGCUCAACAAUCUGCAUAGACAGGCAUGCAGAGAAAACAUUCCCACUCUAGUUUAUGAAUGAACAAAAGCAACAGAGCUCGGAACACCAUAUUGGACACUUGCCUAGCAACUGUUCCAGGAUGGCUACUGGAAAAUAAUUAAAAUAAAAUGAAAACUUAAUUUACAGAACUGCAGUUACUUUCUAGUUCGAUGAAAUGGAGUACUGCAAAAGUUAUUGCCUGUACAAUCAAUUUGGUAUUGCUAUACUAUACUGAUGUGAUAUGACUCUCCAGUCUCCAAGAAGUCACUUUUCCCACUCUUCACCCAGAUUGAAAGUAUUUGUGAUGGGACCUCUCAACCAGCCCUGGCACGACCCCCAACAAUCUGCCAAAUGCCUAGCUGUCGUAUAAAGUACAUAUCGAAUCAUCCGAAUGUAAAAACGGCCAAGUUGGCGAUGGCCUGGAAAAGAUACGAAAGAAGAUUUCCAUCACUUGUGUCGGGAGCAUCGAGCAGCUCUCCUAGGGGACGCGCCGUCCAAAUUGGGAGUCAAAAGAUCCUGUAGAUUUCUUCGUCAACCCUUUGCCUUAUUCAUCCGAUUCCAGUCACGUCCACCCGCGGAAGAAUCUCUUCCGGUCGAUUCCCGGAAUCAGCACCAACAAUCUAGCAAUCAUCAGUGAAUCAAUUCCCGGACGAUUCCUUUUAAUGAGAAUGUCAACUGCUUUCCCCCCCCCCCCUGAUGUUAGUCGUGCCGCCAAAUGCAAAUGAAUUGAAUCGCGAAUGGCCGAAUUUGUCAGUCCGUGUGAGGUUAUCCGUCCGUCCUUGCAGCUGUGAUGUAAUAGAGAAAUUGGGAGGCGCCUCUGUACGAGCCGAGUGAAAAAGAACCGCAACGUCGGGCGCCGCAACGGCGUCCAUCUGACAUGUCCAUGGCGAAUGUUCGUGCCCGGUGGAACCCGGUGGAACCCCGAAUGGAAUCAUUAUGACUUGCUGAUGGCCGACUAGCGUGCCAAUGUUAACUCCCGCCAGCACCGCAUGUUCAUAUACAUGUAGAUUCGGCGACUACCGUCUGAACUCUGCUGAUGAUUACUAUUAUUAUUAUAAGGUCCGCUAUAUGCAUGUAAUUCUAUUACGCACACGUCCAGUUGGCUGUGAGAGAGAACAAAAAGAUCCAUUGCCCGGGACCCAACACAUGCAUCAAUUUUAUUAUUAUUAUGUGCUGCUGCUGCUGCUGUAGUGCGACGCACAACUUUUCUUAGGUGAAUUACAUUCCAAAGUGGAUUUAA